rnacentral:lncRNA from 1 species
UUUCUUUGGCUAGAUUCACUUUUGCAGUUCAUGCAAUUAAUGUUAGUUUCAAAGAGUUUCAUAUAAUAAGCUCAUUGUAUUUUUGUCAUUUUUUAUUUUUAAAUUGUGUUAAUUAGAAUGUUAUAUCUCAAUCUUGUGUAAUGAAUGGCUAUGGACAUGGGGUUGCUCAAGUAUGGUUUCUAAAGUCAUUCCAUGACUUUUUUUAUUUAUUAUUUGGAAGAAUUAUGGGUUGAGGCAGACCCUAACCUGUAUUAGAAUAAUCUACCAUAAAUAGUUAUGAUAUCCUCCCUUACAAUGUUUGACAAAUUCUGUUAAGGGGAGGAGUAAAACAAAUAAAAUUACACAAGUCCGACUUGUCUAGGGAGGCUAACAGAUCUGCAACCCUGUUUAUCUCUCUAUAUAUGUGUGCGAAACUUAUACUUCCACACUUCCUUGGAUUAAUCCUGAUAGAAGCUAUAAGAUCCUUGCAGUACUAUGGUAUAGUAUGUUUAGAUGAUAUCCAGCUUCAAUACACAACCUAGCACAACUUCCAAAGCUUUAAGCUUCUGGUAGAUAAUAGAGUGCCUACUCCCACUGCCAUGAAAGCAAAAGACAACCUCUCCAUUUGCAUAUCUGACUAUGCCCCCAACUUCCAAAGCUUUAAGCAUUCCAUGACUUUGAGUCAGGGGAAGUUGUAGAUAUUACUGCAUUGAUUUCCGAUAGGUGGUGUUUGCAAAGUAGUUCCAUUAUAUAAUAUAUAGAAUACUUACUGCCCUAUUCUUGUUAAUACAUUCUACUUGUUCAAUUAUUUUAAAGCUUUCUUUUAUUGAUUCAGGUUGAUAAUUUUCAUGGGGUUGAAUCUAGUACCAAUUUCUCUUGGUAUGUCUAGGCUCCUUAUGUUAUUUAUGUGUUUGCAUGUUGUUCACUAAGAGCUAGAAUAACUGAAAUGGUUUGUGUAUCUGUUUGCAGCUUGCAGUUGUAGUAAGCCAUGCUACACUAGUAUUCGUUUAUACAUUUACUUAAUUUUAUAUUCAAGUGAGUUGUGUGUCUUAGUGAUUAUUCUGUUCUAAAUCUCAUGAACUUUUUUUUUCUUAUGUUUGUCCAGUAACUUCUUUGCGCAAUUGGCUUUAAUUAUCAAGACAUAGACAGUUCUAUGCUUCUAAGGUCGUGUUUUAUGGUUAUAGGUGCUAUAAGGUUAGCUACAGACUCGAAUAGAUGGACCUGAGCAUCUGAUGUUCAACCAUUCAAAGUUUCUACUGCAUACAGAGUAUCAUUCUUAGGUCCUCAAUUGUCUAUUCUCAGGGGCAGUAGCAAGGUGAUUAGUUUAUGGAGCUUUAACUAGUAGAGCAUUCUCUUCCUUUCAGGGGCAGCAUUGACUUUGGAACUCUAUUUAACAUGAACGGUAAAUCUGAUAUCAAUGGAUUUAACUCUAUUUAACAACAGUGGUUUAACUUGUUUAGUCUUAUAAGUGGCAUGAAAUCAAUAGUAAUCUUUUUGUCAUUUGGGCAUGCAAUGUUAUAUAAAAUGAGGUCUGAUGAAUUGGUCUUGUUUGCUUCUCUGGUAGGCUUUUAGGAAUGUGUUGGAUAUGUACUUUGGAGUAAAUCUUGAUGGACGUAAAGUGGAAUUGUUAAAGGUGAUUAUCAGUGGUCA